rnacentral:rRNA from 1 species
GUCUCUAUGAGAAAAAUAUAAAGUCUAGCCUGCCCACUGAGUUUUAAAGGGCUGCGGUAAUUUGACCGUGCAAAGGUAGCAUAAUCAGUAGUCUUUUAAUUGAAGGCUGGAAUGAAUGGUUGGAUGAGAGAUUAGCUGUCUCUAAUGUAUAUUAUAAUUUGACUUUUAAGUGAAAAGGCUUAAAUUAUUCAGAGGGACGAUAAGACCCUAUAAAACUUUAUAUGUCAUUAGUUUUAUACUUAAAUUUUAAUUUAAAAUUGUAAAAUCAAUAGCAUAUUUUGUUGGGGAGACAUUGAUAUAGACAGUAACUGUCCGAAUAAAAAUAAUAAUUAUAUUUAGAAUAUGAUCCUUCUUUGUGGAUAAAAAGAAUAAGUUACUUUAGGGAUAACAGCGUAAUUUUCUCUGAGAGUUCUUAUCGAAGAGAGUAGUUGCGACCUCGAUGUUGAAUUAAAAUUUCUUUUAGGUGUAGCCGUUUAAGUAGUAGGUCUGUUCGACCUUUAAAAUUUUA